GGAGGCGCGCGCCCGAGCCGCCGCCGCCGCCGCCGCCGCCGAAUAUCCAACAAGGAGCGAGCCCAGUGGCCGCCGUCCUCGCCAGCGGAGUCGCCGCCGCCGUCCCCUUCCCUGCCCCCGUCCUUGGGCGUUUGAGCAAGACUGGUUUCGGUUCUCCCCGAGCUUCUCUCGCAGAAUUGUUUGAAAAUGGAGCCCGUCUUCUGGAGAUUCUGGCACAGGCUGGGUCACAUGCAGCAACUGGAAGAUAUGCUCAUGCACAUGUGAACACUUCCCUUCCACUCCAUACAGACAUUGUAUUAGCUUAAUGUUUUGUUUAAAAUUGAACCAAUUAAUAAACAAUGUAUUAUGUAAGAGUA